rnacentral:snRNA from 1 species
AUACUUACCUGGCAGGGGAGACACCAUGAUCAGGAAGGUGGUUUUCCCAGGGCGAGGCUUAUCCAUUGCACUCGGGAUGUGCUGACCCCUGCGAUUUCCCCAAAUGUGGGAAACUCGACUGCAUAAUUUGUGGUAGUGGGGGACUGCGUUCGCGCUUUCCCCUG